rnacentral:rRNA from 1 species
GAGCGGGGCAACCCGCAAGUAGAGUGGCGAACGGGUGAGUAAUACAUCGGAACAUUUCCAGUAGCGGGGGAUAACCUGUCGAUAGAUAGGCUAAUACCGCAUACGCCCCACGGGGGAAAGCGGAGGACCGCAAGGCUUCGCACUAUAGGAGUGGCCGAUGUCGGAUUAGCUAGUUGGCGGGGUAACGGCCCACCAAGGCGACGAUCCGUAGCUGGUCUGAGAGGACGAUCAGCCACACUGGAACUGAGACACGGUCCAGACUCCUACGGGAGGCAGCAGUGGGGAAUUUUGGACAAUGGGCGCAAGCCUGAUCCAGCCAUGCCGCGUGAGUGAAGAAGGCCUUCGGGUUGUAAAGCUCUUUCGGUGGGGACGAAAAGGUUCGUGCUAAUACCACGGACUAAUGACGGUACCCGAAGAAGAAGCACCGGCUAACUACGUGCCAGCAGCCGCGGUAAUACGUAGGGUGCAGGCGUUAAUCGGAAUUACUGGGCGUAAAGCGUGCGCAGGCGGUUUGUUAAGACAGAUGUGAAAUCCCCGGGCUUAACCUGGGAACUGCGUUUGUAACUGGCAAGCUAGAGUGUGGCAGAGGGGGGUGGAAUUCCAAGUGUAGCAGUGAAAUGCGUAGAUAUUUGGAGGAACACCGAUGGCGAAGGCAGCCCCCUGGGCUAACACUGACGCUCAUGCACGAAAGCGUGGGGAGCAAACAGGAUUAGAUACCCUGGUAGUC